rnacentral:rRNA from 1 species
UGGGGAAUUUUCCGCAAUGGGCGCAAGCCUGACGGAGCAACGCCGCGUGAGUGAUGAAGGUUUUCGGAUCGUAAAGCUCUGUUGCCAGGGAAGAACGCUUAGGAGAGUAACUGCUCCUGAGGUGACGGUACCUGAGAAGAAAGCCCCGGCUAACUACGUGCCAGCAGCCGCGGUAAUACGGAGGGCGCGAGCGUUACCCGGAUUUACUGGGCGUAAAGGGCGUGUAGGCGGCCUGGGGCGUCCCAUGUG